CAAAAAUGCAUCAAAUCUUUGUCAUUGAGAUAACCUUGUUCCCAGCGAUAUCAGUGCAAGAAUAACGAUUUUGAUCAAAAUCCACGUGGUCGUCAAAAAUAGAUCAAAUUCAUGUUUUGGUCAAUGAGAUUAUGCUCUUGGUCAUUUUCCCAACGAUCUUGGUGGAUAAAUAACGAUUUUGACAUGUUUUGAUCAAAAUCCACGUGAAUGAAAUUCGAUAAGAUAUCGCGCCUCUUGAAUGUGCUAUAAAAGCGGAGCCUUUGCGUCCUGAAAUAUAUACCGAAUUCAAAAUGCUUAAAAUACUGAUCCUGACUGCUUUACUAGUUGUAUUCGUUGGCUUGGUAGAAGGCUGCAACUACCAAAACUGUGUUUGCGCUGGCACCUGUAGCUCAGGCAAAAUAUAUUGUGGCAGCUGUUCUGGGAGGUUGAAAAAGUGCUGCGACAGUUAAUAAGAAGCCUAGGGAUAUUGAAAGAAGCACCGUCUUCCGUACAAGAUGCGGUUGUAUUAAUUAUACAUUUUGAAUGUAAAAUAUUAAAUAGAUCAUACAUGAAAA